AUUGAACGCUAGCGGCAGGCCUUACACAUGCAAGUCGAACGAGUGGCGGACGGGUGAGUAAUGUCUGGGAAACUGCCCGAUGGAGGGGGAUAACUACUGGAAACGGUAGCUAAUACCGCAUACCAUCAGAUGUGCCCAGAUGGGAUUAGCUAGUUGGUGGGGUAACGGCUCACCAAGGCGACGAUCCAUAUCUGGUCUGCGCGGAUGACCAGCCACACUGGAACUGAGACACGGUCCAGACUCAUACGGGAGGAAGCAGUGGGGUAUUUGGCACAAUGGGCGCAAGCCUGAUUCAGCCAUGCCGCGUGUAUGAGUAAGGCCUUCGGGUUGUAAAGUACUUUCGGCGGGGAGGCGUUACCCGCAGAAGAAGCACCGGCUAACUCCGUGCCAGCAGCCGCGGUAAUAC
rnacentral:rRNA from 1 species